UACGUAGGGGGCAAGCGUUGUCCGGAAUCAUUGGGCGUAAAGCGCGUGUAGGCGGCUCGAUAAGUCUGCUGUGAAAGUUCAGGGCUCAACCCUGAAAUGCCGGUGGAAACUGUCGAGCUAGGGUCCGGAAGAGGCGAGUGGAAUUCCUGGUGUAGCGGUGAAAUGCGCAGAUAUCAGGAGGAACACCAAUGGCGAAGGCAGCUCGCUGGGACGGUACUGACGCUGAGACGCGAAAGCGUGGGGAGCAAACAGG
rnacentral:rRNA from 1 species